AUGGCAAACACCGCCAAGGUCGUGGCAAUCUUUGGCGUUCUUGUGUUCCUGCAGGUCGUAUCAUGUGCUGUCGCCCGGCACCAUGCUGAUCUAGGGAAUUCUCUCGGCAGCAUCCAGACAGGAACGAUGACGGUGGACGGGUACGAAGAAGGAGAGGAGGGCGGCGGGCCGGCUGCAUGCGACGGCAUAUACCACAGCGACGGGGAUUUGCUGACAACGCUGCCUACAGAGCUGUACGCGGGCGGGAGCCGGUGUCACAACUUUGUAGCCAUCGCCAGCACGCAAACCGGGCGUAGCACGCUGGCCAUGGUCGUGGACGUGUGCGAUGACUGCGGCGCUGAUGAGUUGGGGACAUCAGCCGCCGUGUGGAAUGCCCUGGGGCUCGACACCAAUGCCGGCGUCGCGCCCAUCAGAUGGCUUAUCCCAUGA
rnacentral:rRNA from 1 species